CUUCCUUCAGAAUUUAAGAUUCCUAUACAUUCUGCUUCACUGAAUUCCACCAAUCACAAAAUUAAAACAGCUACCCGUCUAAAUUGCUUGGGCUGUUAACCGGCAUUUUUCACCCAAUCCUGAACCCAGAAUAGGGACAUGAAAAACCAUCCAUUCAUGAGCAGGAAGUCUUAAUCAAUACAUCAACUUCUGUCACAGCUUAAAAAAAUAUUCUUGAAUGACUUGAGACAAAAANN
rnacentral:lncRNA from 1 species